rnacentral:rRNA from 1 species
GAGUUUGAUCAUGGCUCAGAACGAACGCUGGCGGCGUGCUUAAUACAUGCAAGUCGAACGUGAUUCCCGACUUCGGUUGGGAUGAAAGUGGCGAACGGGUGAGUAACACGUAAGUAAUCUGCCUUCAAGUUUGGGAUAACCCUGCCAACGCGGGGCUAAUACCGGAUGUGGUCCAGCAGACCCAUGUUUGCGGGAUUAAAGGUCGCGAGACCGCUUGGAGAUGAGCUUGCGGCCCAUUAGCUAGUUGGUGAGGUAACGGCCCACCAAGGCAGGGAUGGGUAGCCGGCCUGAGAGGGUGUACGGCCACAUUGGGACUGAGAUACGGCCCAGACUCCUACGGGAGGCAGCAGUAGGGAAUUUUGCGCAAUGGACGGAAGUCUGACGCAGCAACGCCGCGUGAAGGAUGAAGGCCUUCGGGUUGUAAACUUCUGUUGGAUGGGAAAAAAAGCCUUUUAAGAGGAAUUGAUGGUACCAUUCGAGUAAGCACCGGCUAACUACGUGCCAGCAGCCGCGGUAAUACGUAGGGUGCAAGCGUUGUUCGGAAUCACUGGGCGUAAAGAGAGCGUAGGCGGGAUUGUAAGUUAGAAGUUUAAUACAUGGGCUCAACCCGUGGUCUGCUUUUAAUACUGCGAUUCUUGAGUAUGGGGGAGGGCGAUGGAAUUCCAGGUGUAGCGGUGGAAAUGCGUAGAUAUCUGGAAGAACACCAGUAGCGAAAGCGGUCGCCUGGCCCAAUACUGACGCUGAGCUCGAAAGCUGGGGGA